rnacentral:rRNA from 1 species
GACAAACGCUGGCGGCGUGCCUAAUACAUGCAAGUUGAGCGCUGAAGGUUGGUACUUGUACCAACUGGAUGAGCAGCGAACGGGUGAGUAACGCGUGGGGAAUCUGCCUUUGAGCGGGGGACAACAUUUGGAAACGAAUGCUAAUACCGCAUAAAAACUUUAAACACAAGUUUUAAGUUUGAAAGAUGCAAUUGCAUCACUCAAAGAUGAUCCCGCGUUGUAUUAGCUAGUUGGUGAGGUAAAGGCUCACCAAGGCGAUGAUACAUAGCCGACCUGAGAGGGUGAUCGGCCACAUUGGGACUGAGACACGGCCCAAACUCCUACGGGAGGCAGCAGUAGGGAAUCUUCGGCAAUGGACGAAAGUCUGACCGAGCAACGCCGCGUGAGUGAAGAAGGUUUUCGGAUCGUAAAACUCUGUUGGUAGAGAAGAACGUUGGUGAGAGUGGAAAGCUCAUCAAGUGACGGUAACUACCCAGAAAGGGACGGCUAACUACGUG